AGGACGAACGCUGGCGGCGUGCUUAACACAUGCAAGUCGAGCGGAAAGGCCCUUCGGGGUACUCGAGCGGCGAACGGGUGAGUAACACGUGAGCAACCUGCCCCUGGCUCUGGGAUAGCCUUCGGAAAACGGGGAUUAAUACCGGAUAUUCACUGCUUCCUGCAUGGGGGGUGGUGGAAAGUUUUUCGGCUGGGUGGGGCUCGCGGCCUAUCAGCUUGUUGGGGGGUGACGGCCCACCAAGGCGACGACGGGUA
rnacentral:rRNA from 1 species